GGCUAUCUGACGAGUCCCAAAUAGGAGGAAAUGCGCGUCUUGGAU
rfam:Schistosoma rodhaini strain Burundi genome assembly, scaffold: SROB_scaffold0007009